CGGGGAGCAGGGCUGCCUACCGGCCCCGGCCCUUCUCCCUCCAGCCGGGGCCCCAGCUCCGACAGGGGCCGCCCGCCCGCGGUACCUGCCGCCGCCCCGCCAGCACCUCCUCCGCCAGCUCCUCCACCUCGGCCAGUGAGUUUGAUGCUGGUGCCACAUUGACAGCUGUGGAGACUGUGACCCUCUCUUCAGACACUAGGGGAGGGAGACGCAAGACCGGUGCAAACUUCCCCACACCACCCAGCCAAUGACUUGGAAGACAACUCUAGGGAUGAGGGGGAAGGUCACCCUCCAUGGCCCAUUCAAUCCUUGGCCCUUCUGAGACUGCCAGUAAGGAGGCCAAUUAAUGCCAGUUGUAAUGGUAGUUUUAAUUAUGUAGAUAUCUGUCCCGGACUCAGGACAAGCAACCCCAUUCACAUACAUCAUCAGCAAAGUGUCAAGAAAUACCAAGUGUAGACUGGACCAUUUCUAGCGAUGAGUCUCUGGCUCCCGUGAGCCACCCAGUCCCCCUUCUGUUCGUUUUUGGGAGCUGCUGGCUGCUGUGCAAUUCAUCAAGCACAUUUUAAAAUUCAAAAAGCAUUAAAAUGCUCCGGAGUGGUCAUUAUCCCCUCCCCUUGCAAUUCCGGCUCAGUGUCUCAUGAUUACAGUCAUCCCGUUCCAUCACCCACAGAUUGCUGAGGGUCAGGGGGAGAGAGUGGGGAGAAGCCAGGAGGAUAAACAGGUGCAUUCCAAGAAUACUCUCUCCAAUCAUCAGUCCUCUUUGGUAUGAUAAGUACAGGAAAUGGGAAAUAAAACAAGGCACGUCCCAGCUGCUGUUGA